UUUUAAUCUUUUCAGAGGAACCUGUUCAAUAAUUGAUAAUCCACGAUUGAAUUAACCUAAAUUAGAAAUUUUUAUAUCGUCGUUAUUAAAUAUUUUAUAAGAAUAUAAUAUUUAAGAAUUUUUUAAAAAAAUAUCUCAGAUCAAGGUGAAGUUUAUAUUUAGGAUGAAAUGGGUUACAUUAAAUUUUAUUUAUGGAUUUAAAUUUUGAAAAUAAUUAUGAAACUGGAUUUGAAAGUAAUUAGUUAUAC
rnacentral:rRNA from 1 species